CCAAAGUUGGAAAAGAGAAAACAAAUGAAAAGUAGAUAAAGGAGGAAUGAGUGAUAGAAGCUGACUCACUCGGAUUCACAGCCCCACCAAAUGGGGCUUGCACAGUUCAGGUGGUCUGAAUUGGGGUAGCUCUGUAGUUAUGGCCUAUUGGACAGGCAGAAAAUGUCUCUGGAACUGCCAAGCUGGAUUUUUUACAAGAAUUAAAAUUGUUGUUAUAAUAAGAGAUCAAGUGGACAAACAUACUCAGUAAAGUCUUAUAAAAAUAAACUUUGUGUGUAUAUACUUCCAGUUGAACUCUAGGCUGGCAGGAAUCAGCCUGUUACUGAGAGGCACCACUGCAGGACAGCAGGAGGCAAUAAGUAAAUGACUGCAAAAAAGAUUAUUCCUUUGUCCACUUCACAUAUGCACAGUAGUGCAUGCAGUUAGCAGAGCUGUCAGUGCUUAUUAGCAAACACAGACUGCCUGCAGGCUCCUACAGGCUCAAAAUUCACAUUAUAUCCAUGUCCUCUGUACUUUCUAUUAGUAUGUGUAGAACAGCUAAGCUGUAAUACUGUAAAGCAGUAAAUAACACUGUGUUUACCCAAACAAUUACAACUUACUUAUCUUCCCUUGAAAUACCAAAUAGUAGUGGUUUACAUGAUGGCUUUCCUCAAUGCAGUCAAGCAACCACCUUACCAGAAAAGGCAGCAAACACCAAUCUAGACUAAAUAGUAUGUUCAUCCAUGCAAUGACGGGGCACAGCAUUAAGACAAAUGUUUUCCCUGCUGCAAAGAUCCUUGUGAGACAGAGAAGGGGCCCCAGAAUGUAUCCCAGGACCUGACUUUUCCUGUCUGGAAUGGAACAGAAAUGUUCCUCAUGCUCCAGCUCCUCCAAGCCUACUGCUUUGAAAAUAUGGCAACUUGUCCAAAAUCUAGUAACCUUGAAUAUUCUAACUGAACAUACAUUCACAAAAUGUAUAAAAUGAAUCUGCUGUGCUAAUUGUUCUGCUCUAAGGCUUUAAGGGAAUGCCAAACAUAAACAGUUGAGUCUGGACCAAUUUUGACCAAGGUGUUCUGAUCAAGGUUUCGGCACUUUUGCAGGAUAUGUGUUUGAUAGUCAAAACGUUGCUCUGUCAUUGUCCGCAGAAUUAGCCUAGUAAUCUUUAUCUUUCCCAUUCUACUAUUUACUGUUACAGUGCUAUUUCAUUCCCAGAAUUGUCAGUAAACAUCUUAAUCCCUCUGUCAGUUAAUUGCUGACUGAUUUAGGAAACGGUGUAAAAAUGCCUGAAGUGAAUGGGGCUGAAAAUCUGUAAAUAAUGCAGGAAGGAGCUAUGGAGUAUCUUCACAUUACAAAAUAUUUACUUAACAAUCAUCUUGAAAGUGUAUUCUUUAGGAAACAGCUACUCCAAACAGCCUUCCCUGGUCAUGGCUUAAAAUUAAAACAAAACAAAGUAAAACCAUAACAGUGGAAACAAGAUGUGAUUAACUCUCCUUCAUUUAUACUAUACAGGGUCCAGCCUUGCUCAAUUUAUUGCAAGUGUUUAUCCCUCUGGAAAGAUGGACUUGGCAUAAUUGCCAAGAAUAACAACUUGAUGAAUGAUGAUUAGCAGUAAAUACAAAAUGUUUAUCUCAUGUUAUGUAUGGAGCCCUGGAGAAGUCAUGACAAUACUGAGUCGUUGACUUGAUUAACUUAGACACAGAAGAUGUCUCGGAUGGAGGAGGUGGUGCUGUGGAAAAGAUGAAAUAGCAAACAUAAGAUGCAGGCUCUCUUCAGACAUACACUAAGGAUGAUCACAACCAUUACCUGCUUUGCCAUUUGCAGGACAUUGCUAUCUGCACACACUGUGGGAAGCGAGGCUUGAGGAGCCACAUUUCCAUGACCAAAGGUGUCAUGGAAACACAGAGAGAUGUGGAAGCUAUGAUAGUAUACUAUCUAGUAUAUAACACCUAAAUACACUGGAGUCAGCUUCUCACCAUCCAUUCUGGGAUGUGAUGAUAAAAGAAGGAAAUGAGAAAUGGAAAUUCUGGCACUGAAAGGCAAGCUCAGAGCAGACGGAGGGAAAUAUCUGUACAUUCUGACCAUUCAAGAUAGAGAACUGGAAGAAUUGGUGGGACAGACCUGAACGGAGAUGGAGAACUCAGCCGGGUAAAGGAUUAAACCUCUCAACUAAUAGGGGAAUUAGUUGCUGAGCAACAGCUGUGGAAACAUAUGGAACACAAGCUGUAUUUGCCAAGUGAUCAAGACAAAAUGUAGUGCUAUUAUAGACACUAAAACCUGAGAGCCAGUUUACUUAACUGCAUUUUUCGCUGCAACAUUCGUUUUUGAAGAGCAGUUUUCUUUCAGAAUUAAAUUAGAUCAAGUUAUGAAUGUAAGUUACAGAAGACAGAGUAAGGGGGGAUGGUAAAAGAGACUAAUAAAAGCUGUUUCCCUGCCUGCCUUUAUCAAAUGGGAGUCUAUGUUGGUGAUCACUGGCAAAAUAGCCAAAGAAGCAGAACAAAACUUCCCUGCUUCUUUUCUGGCAGCAAGAAAAUGUGCCUCCCUGUGCCCUUCUCUUAGUUUCUUUUGACUUCAAAUUUCUUCUGUGCCAUCAAGUCUAAGUCCAAGAAAAUGUCCGACUCCGUCCUUUCUUUCAAGUACCCCAUAAAAGCUUUUGUGAGUCCAGUAUUUUUUGUUUCUCAGAUUCCUGCUUCAAAUGAAUCACUGAGCAAUGCAUUAGUCAAUUCAUGGGCAAAACAGACCACGUUAAUAUUCAGAAACUGUCUGAGUUCCAGUUCCUAGUGCUACAUCCUUUCUUUCCUAGAAAAUGGGAGUACCAUAAUCUUUAUCAUAAGAAGGUUUAGGAAUUGCACAAUUAAUGAAAGAGAAAAUUCUCAGUGCAUGAUUAAUUCAAAAACCUUAUUAAGAAUCAAAACUUUUAGUUGUGUAUUUUACAGACCACUACACAUGAUUUCCCAGUUAAUUCAGUCAGUCUUUUCAAACAAGUAACAAAGAAUAAACACUUACUGAACUUUGAAUGAGUUUGAGAACCUAUAAAAUAUUCAGAAACAGAAGGGGUGGAUGCAAUCUUUCAGAUUCAGAGGUCAUAGCUUUGGACUCAACACAAGAUGGCAAGUCUGGAUAUAAGCAGAAUUAUACUAUAAGAGUUUAAAUACUAUAUCAAAAGAGUUUGAAAGCUGAAAUCCAACCAAUUCUAACCUCUCUUAAUGGAACUUCACCUGUCCUUUUGAAUGUCUGUCUCUGCCUGGCAGUACUAAGUGUUUGAAAAGGCAGCACCAAGGGUUCAAAUUCCUCCUGAGAUUUUAAAAUUCCAAGGUGAUACAAUCUCAGCUCAAGCUUCUGCUGUUUGUCAAGAGGUGCCUGUGUCAAUCGUGCCUCUCAGAAUAAGAGAGGAGAGGGAGAAAAGGAUCCUGUGAAACAUUUGAAAAAUGCAGUUCGAGACUUUGUUUGCCUAGCCAGAUUUUGCGUUUAAUUGAAAUACUUAAAAGAUCUUAAAACUCCAACAAAGUUAUUAACAAAAUAAAGUAAUAUUUAAGAUUGGAAUUGAGUAAUCUAGAUAAUGAUAUCGGCUUAUUUUUUCUAAAGUAUUUCUGGAAAAUUUAUCAGGGCUGAUCAUGAAAAAAAAAGGCAGGAAAAUGGAAACACUAUCAAGGACUGCAACAGCAGGUCCACAGUCUAUUUUACUCCUCUUGGGACUGCUAAUUGAUUGACCCACUGCCAUCUGCCUUUAGUGUCUUGCAGUAUUGCACAACAUUAUAUUCGAUAAAGAAAAAUAUUAGCAUUGAUGCUACAGAUUAUUCACAAGGAAGGGCAAAGCUACACAUAUCUAGCUAAAUCUUUCCAAAUCUUCCUAUAUCUUUUAAAAACUAAUAUGCUGCUAGCACAGGGAGUUGUUGUUGAUACUCAAUGACCUUUACUGGCACAAAGGCAUCUAUGCAGAAAUUAUGCAAGUUGUACAGUAAUUUUUCCCCCUACAUAUAGGACUUGCACUAGAAAAUGGAACUACCUCGAACAAGAUUAACUGUUGGACAUACCUGUGGGUGAUUCAGCAUGAGCUAUACUGUGCUGUAUCUGUGUACCCGUGUGAAUGUAAAUAUGCUUCUGCAUUACUAUCAGACCCAACCUUAUUCUAUUUCCUUCUCCCUUCUCACAUCCUCUUGUCAAAAGACAAAGUGAAAAAGAAGUAGCCAUUGCACUGAUUAACAGGGGAAGACUAUACUUGCUUCACAUACUUUUUGAACAUCAGGCUUAUUGGUUUUCUGAGGAGUUAGAAAAGACACAAAUCUAGCCAUCCUGUUUGGAACCCUCUUCUCAAGCGGCGCACUCUGUAUAUGCUGAAGUGCUGCUAUUACUUUAUUAAACUGAACUUCAUUACAUAAGUAUGAAUUUUAUUUUCAUGAGCACAACUCAAGGUUGUAUAAAUUGGUCAUUUCUCAAGUUGAUAAGCGUCAACAUUUCUGAAAUUUGUAUGUCUUUGUCAUGCACUUUGAAUUCAAUGGCACUUCUGUUACACAAAAAGAAUAUGAAAUGCCUCUUAAGUCAAAUGUGAUGAUA